rnacentral:tRNA from 1 species
GCCGCCCUAGCUCAGUCGGUAGAGCAAUUCACUCGUAAUGAAUAGGUCAGGGGUUCGAUUCCCCUGGACGGCUCCA